GAUGAACGCUGGCGGCGUGCCUAAUACAUGCAAGUCGAGCGAACGGACGAGAGGCUUGCUUCUCUGAUGUUAGCGGCAGACGGGUGAGUAACACGUGGAUAACCUACCUAUCAGACUGGGAUAACUUCGGGAAACCGGAGCUAAUACCGGAUAAUCUUUUGAACCGCAUGGUUCAAAAGUGAAAGACGGUCUUGCUGUCACUUAUAGAUGGAUCCGCGCUGCAUUAGCUAGUUGGUAAGGUAACGGCUUAUCAAGGCAACGAUGCAUAGCCGACGGGAUUGGGUGAUAGGCCACCCGGGAACUGAGACACGGUCCAGACUCCUGAGAGAGGCAGCAGUAGGGAAUCGUCCGCAAUAGGCGGAAGCCUUACGGAGCAGCGCCGCGUGAGUGAUGAAGGUCUUCGGAGCGGAAUACUCUGUUAUUAGUGAAGAACAUAUGUGUAAGUAACUGUGCACAGCUUGACGGUACCUAAUCAGAAAGCCACGGCUAACUACGUG
rnacentral:rRNA from 1 species